UUUAUGGAGAGUUUGAUCCUGGCUCAGGAUGAACGCUGGCGGCGUGCCUAAUACAUGCAAGUCGAGCGAACGGACGAGAAGCUUGCUUCUCUGAUGUUAGCGGCGGACGGGUGAGUAACACGUGGAUAACCUACCCAUAAGACUGGGAUAACUUCGGGAAACCGGAGCUAAUACCGGAUAAUAUUUUGAACCGCAUGGUUCAAAAGUGAAAGACGGUCUUGCUGUCACUUAUGGAUGGAUCCGCGCUGCAUUAGCUAGUUGGUAAGGUAACGGCUUACCAAGGCAACGAUGCAUAGCCGACCUGAGAGGGUGAUCGGCCACACUGGAACUGAGA
rnacentral:rRNA from 1 species